rnacentral:rRNA from 2 species
UGCAGUCGAGCGAACUGAUUAGAAGCUUGCUUCUAUGACGUUAGCGGCGGACGGGUGAGUAACACGUGGGCAACCUGCCUGUAAGACUGGGAUAACUUCGGGAAACCGAAGCUAAUACCGGAUAGGAUCUUCUCCUUCAUGGGAGAUGAUUGAAAGAUGGUUUCGGCUAUCACUUACAGAUGGGCCCGCGGUGCAUUAGCUAGUUGGUGAGGUAACGGCUCACCAAGGCAACGAUGCAUAGCCGACCUGAGAGGGUGAUCGGCCACACUGGGACUGAGACACGGCCCAGACUCCUACGGGAGGCAGCAGUAGGGAAUCUUCCGCAAUGGACGAAAGUCUGACGGAGCAACGCCGCGUGAGUGAUGAAGGCUUUCGGGUCGUAAAACUCUGUUGUUAGGGAAGAACAAGUACGAGAGUAACUGCUCGUACCUUGACGGUACCUAACCAGAAAGCCACGGCUAACUACGUGCCAGCAGCCGC